UGAAAAAUGAUGUCUGCAACUUGGAUUUCAAGCUGCUGUUUGCUGGAGUAUUUGGAGAACAGCAGCCUGAGCCUGACUUUUCAGAGAACAAGCGUUUCAAAGGCAAUACCAAAGUUCUGCUGGGAGAUAAGAGCAUGGCAAGUUGGAUACAGAAUCUCGGUUGGAGCCUUUUCAAGUUCCUUUUGGGAGGCAGCAUUCCAACUAUGAGAAAUACGUAACAUAAUCCUGGAGCCUGAUCAAUACCGAGGACGAAAUACAGAGGAUAAAUAUGUAAGGACUAAAGGGCAACCACACUGUAAACACCCACUCCUACAAAACACCCACGUAGCUUACUACAACCAGCCCUCAGUAACGUUUCUGUAUUGGCUUGAUCAUUCAUUCCCUUCUAUUUCUCUUACAGUGCAUCACUCUUUAGAUUCCACGUUAGAUUUUAGAAGAAUGUUAAUUAUCCAAGUCUGGAUCCUGCAUCAUGAAGGUCAGGCAGUACAGAUCACUGCAAGCUGGCAAUUGCUCCUUGAAAGAGAAGACUUCUUGAUGCAAAAGACCUUCUAUCCAUCCUUACAUCUGUUUGACUGAAAAUACACAGGAAAUCUGUAGUGCUGGAGAUUUCUUUGGCUUCUCUCUGUCUUGCCCUUUGUGUGGAUAAGCUUACUGACAUCAGAACUGCUAUAUUUAACCCCCUGAGUUAAUCAGUAGACCACCCGGACUUAACAAACAUUCUAUCAUUGAAAAAGGACACAUUUUAAUACAUCUUCAUGCCGUUGUCUCUAUUUUUGGACUAUUAUUAUCAGCUUGCUUUUCAUUCUCUUCACCUUUCCUUCCUGCCUACCACAUUUUGCACAGAAAAGUUGGGAGAAAAAAAAAAAGUGGACUUCAGCAUUUAUGGGACUCUAGCCUAAGCUGAUCAGGUAUCUAAAAAUUUCCCUUGGACUGCCAUCUCCAUCAAAACAUCUAAAAGUGCACCAUAGACUGUAAGACAUGAAAUGUACAUUAGCUUCUGAUGCACAGUCUGCAAGACACUGACAUUCAACCUGAAGAUGUUGUGACAAUCAAGAAGCCAUAAGCAUGAAAUCCAUUUAUUCUGGGAAGAAAGCUUUAGCCAAAGAUCACGACACCAGAGCCUUGAAAUUAAAACAAUUCCUGCUGUCAGCAGUCUCUGCUGGGAGACCCUCGAGCAGUAUUUGCAUUUGCACUCCAGGGCUCCACAUGGUAGAGGAGACUGGUGUAGAAAAUGUGAGACAAAAAAUCCACUAAUAAUGAGAAUGGGAAGGGGUGGGAAAAGGAAGAUAGGUAAGAGGUUUUCCUUGUCACAUCAUGCCUUUACCUUAGCAUUCAUCAUUCGCUGCGUAAAGAAGGCUAUAAGAAGAGAGAGCUGGAAGGGACUGAAUUUAAAAUCUUGAUUUCCCUACGGAUGUUGUUAGGAGGACUUACUUUUAUUCAGUUUUUCUUACAGUUUCUUAAGAGGUGGGAGAGAGUCCCCAUGGUUAUUGGGUGUGUUAACCAUGACCUGUUACAAAUAGCAGUAGUCACAUCACUAAGGUAUGCAUGCUGCAAGUGCCAGCACAGAGUGAAGACACCAAUGUCUGCAUGAAUACUGAGGUAGAUCGUUACCCUGUAUUUUUUCCCAAAGAAUGCUUAGCAGAUUGAGAGCCCUUACAGGCUUGACUAUCCAUGGUUUCUAGAUUUGGAAUGAACUCAAUGAUGAAGCCAGGGUGCAAAGGUACUGAUCCGUGCCAGGACAGAAAUAGCUAAGGGAGCUUUCCCAAAGUUUAGGAAACCUCCAUGGAUUUUACUCACUACGAUAUCAGAAGCACAUGAGCAAGGCAUCGUCAGGGUCUGAGUUCUGAAUCUGUGUGCUGCUUAACUUGGCAGUAUUGCAUUGCUCAAGCUAAGAAAUACCUGCACUUGGAAUGAAUACAUACCACACAUCUCUACAGUGUAGUAGUGCAUCUCCUCAGCCUAGUAACUGAGACACGGUUUUAAGAGUACAAGCAAAGGAAAGGCACUCUUACAAGACUAAACUUCUUCAUUUCUCAAUAUCUGCCCUAUUUUCCUUUCUACUCAUGUGAUAAAAGCGACAUAUCAUUUUAGAAUUAUGCAAAAGCCACAUCACGAGGACAUAGCUAUAUUCGAGGAAAGGAAAGCUUAUGCCAGUAAGUUGAACUUGUGCAUUUCUGAUGGUUCAGCUAAGUUUCCUUUCAAUUAGCUGCAGGUGCAGGUUCAAAAUCUACAGAUGGGGAUACAAAAUGUGAGAGAUAUAGCAAUGCAUUUCUCUUUUAAAAUACCAGUCUGGUGCAAACCAUAGCGCAGACACAUGUGCAAGCAUCGCUUUCUUGUAAUUGUUUCAAAAUGACUAACAAGUGAGUCAGGCUCCCUGUUUUGUGCUGAUCCCAGAACACAGGAGGGGAGUCAGUAUCUAAUUACGCAUGUUUUUGUAAUUCAUUAACAGCUGACUAAUUAACUCACUGGAAAUCUAAAAACAGAACAAAAACAAAGGACACAAAGAGAACCUUCUCUUGCUCCUGUUCUUUGCCAUCUGCAAUGCCCAUACAUUUGUAAAAAAAAAAAAUAAAAACAACCAAAUAAAAACA
rnacentral:lncRNA from 1 species